AUUUCUUCAAACUUCAUUCUAGACAUAUCUAGAUCAUCUUGUGUAGAUCAUCUCUGCAAAAUUUCAGCCAAUUUGGUGAUCGUUAAGGCCCUCAAACUCGAAAAACAAAUGGACGGACUGAAUUCUGUCUGGUUGUGUUCAUACCAGAAAAACUCGAGGUUUNNNNNNNNNNNNNNNNNNNNUAGAUAUGUCUAGAAGGAAGUUUGAGGAAAUUCGAUCGGGAAGUGGUGCAAAAAUGGAAAUCCGCACCAAAAACUUUGGUGCGGACGUCCGCACCUGAUCAGCAUUGAGUAUAUAUAUAUAUAUACCCCAUCAAAAUUUCCGUUAGAAUAAUAUAAAACUCAACUUAUGCAAAUCAUCAAACAUGCAUUCUUUCACCUUGAACCCAAGUUUACUAAACAUUCUAACUAGAUUUACUAUGGACACCCAUUUCAACUAAAACCAAUCUCAAAUCCAUACAUAACACUCCAAUAUUCACUUCAAUGCAUAAACACAAUCUAACAACUGUCUAAUAGUAAUAUUCCUAUACCCGGUUAUCAAUUUUAACCGUUAAUAUCGCUAGUCUUCGGAAAAUCCGAAACCUAACCAACAUUACUCCAAAAAUUGCUAACUUUCCACCAAUGGGUUUAUCUCAUUUUUAGCAAUUUAAUAAGCAUGAAAAACUGCCUAAAAAGUGGCAGCACCACCCGGCGGCCAAUCUCCGGCCACCCCCAAUCGUCACCAAAAUUUGACAGAACCUUCCUCUCAUCCCACACAACAACUUCCUAAAAGAAGUCGAAGACCAAUUCUAAGCCUAAACAGGUCAAUCAAAUCAAAAACACAAUAAAGAACCCUAGAACUCCAAUUAUACAUUUCACCCUAACAAGAUUGAAUUGGACUAAUUCUUUUUGAGGGAUUACUCACCUUGAUGAGAGCUACAAGAUGAGCCACGAAUCACGAACUUUGGUGGCUGGAGGAGCAAUUUCUGGCUAGUGGACCAUCCGGUGUUCCGACGGGAUUUCUCACGUCCGGCGGCGUCAUCGACCCAGGAAGGAAGAGGAGGCGACGAGGGUCCAAACGGGACCAGUCCGACGAUCUCUGAUGGCCGGACGGCGGCAGGUGAUGGUGGUGAAGCCGGCCGGUCCCGGGGAGACUCGGGAGGAAGGAGAGAGGAAGGAAACCCGGGGCCAAUCUCCGGCCACCCCCAAUCGUCACCAAAAUUUGACAGAACCUUCCUCUCAACCCACACAACAACUUCCUAAAAGAAGUCGAAGACCAAUUCUAAGCCUAAACAGGUCAAUCAAAUCAAAAACACAAUAAAGAACCCUAGAACUCCAAUUAUACAUUUCACCCUAACAAGAUUGAAUUGGACCAAUUCUUUUUGAGGGAUUACUCACCUUGAUGAGAGCUACAAGAUGAGCCACGAAUCACGAACUUUGGUGGCUGGAGGAGCAAUUUCCGGCUAAUGGACCAUCCGGCGUUCCGACGGGAUUUCUCACGUCCGGCGGCGUCACCGACCCAAGAAGGAAGAUGAGGCGACGAGGGUCCAAACGGGACCAGUCCGACGAUCUCUGGUGGCCGGACGGCGGCAAGUGAUGGUGGUGAAGCUGGCCGGUCCCGGGGAGACUCGGGAGGAAGGAGAGAGGAAGGAAAGAGAGUUGGGGGGGGGUGGUGUGUGUGUGUGUGUGGGUUGUAUUGUGUGUGGGCCGCUCCACCUUGGUCCAACUUUAAUACCCACAAAAAAAAUAAAGCCUACCAAAAAUUUACCUCCAACCAAAAUAGUAACUUCCGUUUUUAGACCAUAACUUUCUUCAUACGAACACUGAUUUAAACGUGCCACGUGUCAACGAACUCGUAUUAACGUCAUCUACGACUUCCAUGAAGGAAGUUUUCCCAAAUUAUCGACUUAACGUCAACUUUUUGGGUCCUUUACAGUAAAACGGUUACAAGAAACAAUAAUUAAAAAUUUACUGUAAACUUCAUAAAUUCACAAAACAUAGCUUGUCGCUCCGGAAAAUAAUCUGGGCAUAUCGGUGAGCUCGUAUAAACGUGUACCACGAUUUCGGAGUUUUAAAUCCACUAUUUACCAUUUUCAGACAAACUCGAAAACAAAAUCAAGCAAUCGCUAUUUAAAUCUCUGAGCGCGAAUGAAGAAGCAUUCGCGGUAACUCGUAACCCCGAACAGUAACCUUUUAGGUACGGGGUAUUACAGAUACUUUCGGGCUUGUCUUGCAACUAUCUCAGAGUCCAUGUUGCUAAGGUGUUGAUGGUUGAGGAAGAAGACCACAGGGAUACCUCCUCUGUGUAGGAUGGUUUCGGGUUUGUAAAAUAAAUCAGGAUUAGCGCAUGCCCAAUCCUUUUGGUUAUGGUCUUUUGACUUUAGUUUUAGUUUUAUUUUCUGCUGGUUGAACUCCAUGUUAGUUUCUUUUAGGUCUCUUUCGAGCUAUCUAGUAUGGCUUCAUUCUCUCGGCCUUUGCGAGCGGGUCAUGUUGUAAUUACCAUUUUUCGUUUUGGUAUUAAAGGCUUCACACCCAUGUUUCAAAAAACAAAUCUCCGAUAUUUAGGAUAUUUGGGAUAUGUAUCCGAUAUACUAAAGAAAUAUAUGUAAAAAUUAUAGGCAUAAAGAAAAAUCACCACAAAAGAUACUCAAGAGAUAAAUAAUUCCUUUGAGGCAUAUUCCAAUAAAGAAAAGGUCUGAAGUGAUUUAUGGGAGAGGGGUAAUCCCCUUGAGGGUUAUAAAAAUUUUACAAUGUGUUAAUGCAUGACAUAUUUCAACUCUGUCAUAAAAUUGUAAAAUGAGUCAUUAAAGUGAUAAUAUUAGUCAUUAAAGUUGUAAAUAUUCUUAGUUAUCUCAUGAGUUUUUAAUUCAUUUGAGGUACAUUCCAAUAAAGAGUAAGGGUCUAAAGUGAUUUAUGGGAGAGGGGUAAUCAUCUUGAGGGUUAUAUAAAUUCUACAAUGUGUUAAUGCAUGACAUAUUUCAACUCUGUCAUAAAAUUGUAAAAUGAUUCAUCAAAAUGAUAAUAUUAGUCAUUAAAGUUGUAAAUAUUCUUAGUUAUCUCAUGAGUUUUUAAAGUAGUAAUAUUAAUAUUUAAAGUGGUAAUCUGAGUCAUUAAAGUGAUUAAAAAAAGUUGAUACAACUUUGAGGACUAAAUUACCAUUAUAAGAACACAUUUUACCAUUUAAGGACUAAUGUUGUAAUUAAAAUUUUACAACUUUAAAGACGCAUAUUACAACUUUAAUGACCAAUUUUAUUAAUUUGAGGACUCAUUUUUCAAUUUAGGACAAAAUUGAUGCAUGUUAUGCAUAACACACCUUAGCCUUCCCAGGAGGGAUAUCUAGAUGUGGAGUGAGUAUCAUCGUGCGUCUUUUCAACUAUAUAGAGUCUUUUUCUAGAUGUAGACGAAGUUGAUGUUUGUAGUUUUGUACUGUUUAUAUGUAAAUCUAUUAAAUUUCAGAAUAAAUUUUAUGUGACAGCCCGGAAUUUAAUUAUGUAUAUACCUAUUUACAAAUUUGCUUAUAUAUUACAUGUAUCUAUAUAUAGGUAUGACUGUUUAAGUGGUGUGUGUAUAUAUAUGUUGUUAUAUAUGCUGAAAAUUAAUAUAGUUAUAUAGUUUAUUUUAUUUUUAUUGAAUUUAAUGAGUAGAGUUUUUAUCGAAGCCCAAUACCCAAAUACAAAACCCAAGCCCAAACUUGAUAUAGCUAGGAAAAAAGUCAAAAACUGUUGUCUUGAGAUUGUAGAACGAUUGCUUUCUUCUUCAACGACUUCUUCUCCUUUCACCACCUUCUCCUCCUUGACCGACUUCUUCUUCUUUCCUUGUUCUCCAAGUCUGAAAACUUUCUCUAACCGCCUUAGAUAGCUAGCUACCGCCUUAAAAGAGUCAAAUUUCACGGCUACCGCCAUGAACAAACAGGAGGUGUCAAAUUCCUAGGGAUUUGUUGAUGACUCAUUGAAGCUAUACAGUAGGAGCUAGAACCCUAGGAGUCUAGUCUAGCACCUAAAAGGGUAAGAUUUUAGUUGCAUAAUUCAAUUUUGCUUCUUAUGAUUUUGUCUUGGACGCCAAGUUCUACACUUU
rnacentral:lncRNA from 1 species